UACGGGAGGCAGCAGUGGGGAAUAUUGCACAAUGGGCGCAAGCCUGAUGCAGCGACGCCGCGUGAGGGAUGACGGCCUUCGGGUUGUAAACCUCUUUCAGCAGGGAAGAAGCGAAAGUGACGGUACCUGCAGAAGAAGCGCCGGCUAACUACGUGCCAGCAGCCGCGGUAAUACGUAGGGCGCGAGCGUUGUCCGGAAUUAUUGGGCGUAAAGAGCUCGUAGGCGGCUUGUCACGUCGGUUGUGAAAGCCCGGGGCUUAACCCCGGGUCUGCAGUCGAUACGGGCAGGCUAGAGUUCGGUAGGGGAGAUCGGAAUUCCUGGUGUAGCGGUGAAAUGCGCAGAUAUCAGGAGGAACACCGGUGGCGAAGGCGGAUCUCUGGGCCGAUACUGACGCUGAGGAGCGAAAGCGUGGGGAGCGAACAGGAUUAGAUACCCUGGUAGUCCACGCCGUAAACGGUGGGCACUAGGUGUGGGCAACAUUCCACGUUGUCCGUGCCGCAGCUAACGCAUUAAGUGCCCCGCCUGGGGAGUAC
rnacentral:rRNA from 1 species